CCACCGACCAUGUUCCUCUCCGCGCAAGCCUGUUAAGUCUUCAAAGCCAGAGGUUUUCGAGGCUCCUCUCUCAGGUACCUGUACGGAGAGCUUGGGAGGCAUUUCCAUAGGCUCAUUGUCAAGUGAAAGCUAAAGCCCCCACUCACUGGGAAGCAAAGGGUGAAGAAAUAAGACACUACAUGGCUCUGCUUUUUAGUGCAUGGAUCAGAGACACACCUAUGAACAACUGCCUACGCAAGUUGAUUACUGGGCAAUAUAAUUUCUCAGUUUUUAUGGGUAAAUGAGUGCUUCUCGCCAUGGACCUAGCUUGUGCAUCAAUUUAGGAUUAUUUUGGAGUCUUCUGGAUAUGAGAGGGAUUAAAAAGGUGAAACAAUAGGACUGGAAUAAAAGGGGAGAAGUAGAGAAAACCAUGGUUUCCAUACUCUUUGGAGAAUAAUUCAUUUGUUGGUUUGUUUGACAGAAAUGGGAUUAUUUGAAGAGGUCAACACAGGGAAUAAUGGUUUAUAACCUUUCUGAGAUAAGGGACUGUGUGAAAACAGAGCCAUCCAGAAAACUAUGAAGAAAUGUUACUUCCAUUCAAAAGAAAACAAAGUAGAAGGACUGAGAAUUGGAUAGAAGACUCAGUGGUGUUGAGGAGUAUUUAAAUAAAAGGCCUUGGCC